rnacentral:rRNA from 1 species
UUAUAGUAUCUCAUAAUAACAUUAGCUAAUAAAAACAAUAGUUUCAAAACUAAAGAUUUUGGCAGUGCUUAAUAUAAUCAGGGGGGCCUGUUACUUAAUACGAUAAUCCACGAACAUCUUACCAUAAUUAGAAAUAAGCCAAUUUGUAUAUCGCCGCUAAAGUUUAAACUUAAAGCUUAAACAAUAUAUAAUUUCAAUAAGAUAUCAGGUCAAAAUGCAAUUAAUAUUAUGGGGUAAAUGUGCCACAUCUACUACACAUAUUAAACUUUAACAUAAUACCAGAACUUGACAGUAAUAAAGCUUUAUUAUAGAAGUAUCAAAUACUAUUACCCAUGCACAUAUCGCCCGUCACUCUUACUGAAAAAUA